rnacentral:rRNA from 1 species
UACGGAGGGAGCUAGCGUUAUUCGGAAUUACUGGGCGUAAAGCGCACGUAGGCGGCUUUGUAAGUUAGAGGUGAAAGCCUGGAGCUCAACUCCAGAAUAGCCUUUAAGACUGCAUCGCUUGAAUCCAGGAGAGGUGAGUGGAAUUCCGAGUGUAGAGGUGAAAUUCGUAGAUAUUCGGAAGAACACCAGUGGCGAAGGCGGCUCACUGGACUGGUAUCGACGCUGAGGUGCGAAAGCGUGGGGAGCAAACAGG